rnacentral:rRNA from 1 species
AGAGUUUGAUCAUGGCUCAGGACUAACGCUGGCGGCGUGCCUAACACAUGCAAGUCGAACGGGGUAGCAAUACCCAGUGGCAGACGGGUGAGUAACACGUGGUCAACCUACCUCUGUGUGGGGGAUAACUAGCCGAAAGGUUAGCUAAUACCGCAUACGAUCCAUGGAUGAAAGCGGGGGACCUUCGGGCCUCGCGCUAU